rnacentral:rRNA from 1 species
GCUCAGGACGAACGCGGGCGGCGUGCUUAACACAUGCAAGUCGAACGGAAAGGCCCUUCGGGGUACUCGAGUGGCGAACGGGUGAGUAACACGUGGGUGAUCUGCCCUGCACUUUGGGAUAAGCCUGGGAAACUGGGUCUAAUACCGAAUAGGACCACGCGCUUCAUGGUGUGUGGUGGAAAGCUUUUGCGGUGUGGGAUGGGCCCGCGGCCUAUCAGCUUGUUGGUGGGGUAAUGGCCUACCAAGGCGACGACGGGUAGCCGGCCUGAGAGGGUGACCGGCCACACUGGGACUGAGAUACGGCCCAGACUCCUACGGGAGGCAGCAGUGGGGAAUAUUGCACAAUGGGCGCAAGCCUGAUGCAGCGACGCCGCGUGAGGGAUGACGGCCUUCGGGUUGUAAACCUCUUUCAAUAGGGACGAAGCGCAAGUGACGGUACCUAUAGAAGAAGCACCGGCCAACUACGUGCCAGCAGCCGCGGUAAUACGUAGGGUGCGAGCGUUGUCCGGAAUUACUGGGCGUAAAGAGCUCGUAGGUGGUUUGUCGCGUUGUUCGUGAAAACUCACAGCUUAACUGUGGGCGUGCGGGCGAUACGGGCAGACUAGAGUACUGCAGGGGAGACUGGAAUUCCUGGUGUAGCGGUGGAAUGCGCAGAUAUCAGGAGGAACACCGGUGGCGAAGGCGGGUCU